rnacentral:rRNA from 1 species
UUAAAGGGUUCGUAGUUGAAUUGAGGGCUGUCCAGGACGCAUUCCGGUCCGCGCCCCUGGCGUUGUGAUCUUUGCUCUGGCUGUCCGUGAACAUCAGAAACGCACAUCACGGGAAUGUACCCUUCCAAAUCUCGCAUGCAAUGUAUGCAGGGGGGCGCCCGUGUGUUUUACUGUGACUAAAAAAGCGCGACCAAAGCAGUCGUUCGACAUGAAUUUCAAAGCAUGGGAUAACGAAGCAGCAGCCUACGGGCUUCCGUUACGGCUUUUGUUGGUUUUAAAGGUCUGUGGGAGACUAUGGACUCGCAUGACAGGCGGUUCGGGGUUUUGUCCCCACGCUUCCGUAGCGCGGUGCCCUCGCGGUAUCCGUUGCGGCUUGCGCGGUCCAGGAAUGAAGGAGGGUUGUUCGGGGGAGAACGUAC